AAGCAGCAAGCCCACUAGAGAAGACACUAUUGCUGUGAAAGAAGACCUAUAACUCCAGGAAACAGUGGGAGGGCGUCCGCUGUCAGGCAGAUGGGAAUGCCACCUUAUAUUCUGAAAGGACCAGCUGGCCCUGACGGUGCACCCCCAAACUCAGUGGGCUCUCAAGUCUCUGGUGUUGAACGCAGCACAUCGGCAGCACCAGGACUUGGCAGGAACCCACCGGCCCGUCCAGUCACGCCCAGGACAGGAGCCAAAGGGGAUGAGCAUUUACAAGAGCAGCGCACAGACCUGACCUGCGUGGAGAUAAUGCAAAGCGCCGACAUAAGGGAAG